AGACCCAUAGUGUAACGGUAGCACACCAGAUUUUGGUUCUGUUCGUCUAGGUUCGAAUCCUAGUGGGUCUA
rnacentral:tRNA from 1 species